rnacentral:rRNA from 1 species
UACGUAGGGUGCGAGCGUUAAUCGGAAUUACUGGGCGUAAAGCGUGCGCAGGCGGUUCGUUGUGUCGGCGGUGAAAGCCCCGGGCUUAACCUGGGAAUGGCCGUUGAAACUGGCGAACUGGAGUGUGGCAGAGGGGGGUAGAAUUCCACGUGUAGCAGUGAAAUGCGUAGAGAUGUGGAGGAAUACCGAUGGCGAAGGCAGCCUCCUGGGCCAACACUGACGCUCAUGCACGAAAGCGUGGGGAGCAAACAGG